UACGAAGGGGGCUAGCGUUGUUCGGAAUUACUGGGCGUAAAGCGUGCGCAGGCGGCUUCUCAAGUCAGGGGUGAAAGCCCAGAGCUCAACUCUGGAAUUGCCUUUGAGACUGAGUGGCUUGAGUACGAGAGAGGUGAGUGAAAUUCCCAGUGUAGAGGUGAAAUUCGUAGAUAUUGGGAAGAACACCGGUGGCGAAGGCGGCUCACUGGCUCGUAACUGACGCUCAUGCACGACAGCGUGGGGAUCAAACAGG
rnacentral:rRNA from 1 species